UAAAUUUUAUUGUUGUGGCCAGAG
rnacentral:piRNA from 1 species